ACAAUGUCAAACCUCGUCAGUAAGAGGCACUGGUGGACACUGAAAGAGGAAGGGGCUUCUCUUGGGUUUCCGGAUUUGGUUUCCUCGUGUUCAUGUGCCCUUUACUGGACUGGCAUCCCGACAAGAGGCCGCCUGGCCUACCUUGUCUCCAGUUCUAGUGGCGAGGGUGGGCCGUGCGGCAGGCCUCGAUGUCCGGCACAUGUCUGAUGACGUUGACCAGAAGCUUCUCCAUCCUACUGAAUUAAAUGUCUGAGACCGUCAUGUGGUCAAGCUUUCGGCUAAUACACAACAAAGAACUGCAGGCCACGCACUGACACUGUGUAAUGAAAGGCUGAUGGAAACACAUUCUGGGAACUGCAGGAAGUCGAGGACAUGAAGGAAAAAGACAUUAAAGACUUUCUGUGUCAGA